ACAGAGCGGAAACAGGCAGAAAGUGCUGGGAGUCGGCGACCCCUCUGCGGGCCGGGUUGGGGGGCCGGGAACCGCCAAGGACUGGCGUCUCUGCUUUGGGCUGGGCAGGGCUCCUCCAGCUCCGGCAAGCUCACCUGAAAGCCAGAUCUGCCCCGCUGCUGCCUGCGCCAACCACUGUCCUGGCUAGGCAAAAACGAAGCCCCCCAUCCAGGCUCCACUGCCUUUGUUCCUUCUAAAGGGUUUCACAGCCAGUGCGCUUCAGGAGGGAAUGUGAGGGAGCUAGCUCUCUAAAAGCUUGGGUCUACCUCCCCUGGCUUAGUGAAAGCCACUCUGAGUGCUUCCCUCUUUCCUUCGCCGCCUGGUGGAAUGAGAUGAAGGGGCUCUAACUGAGGCAGGGAACAGGACUUUGUGGCACCUGUGCAUUCGGCCCAUAGAAGGGAGAAACAGCGGUGUCUGGUACCCCAGGAGCAGAGAGAGGUCCUGGAAGCCCUUGUGCAAGAGGCGGGGAGGAGCCAUGACCAGUGCAAAACCACCAACUCCCGCAAAUGUGAGGCAAAUAUAUACCCGGGAGGAGGGGUAGACCAGCUUCUUCAUUCUCCCUCCAAUCCUUUCCAGUCACUGUGGCUUCGGGGUUUGAUAGGACCUCUGGGCUUUGAGCUUUCUCCCACCCCUCUUCCCCCUCGGGGGCCCUUGCAUACCUAACAAGGUCCGCAGAGAGGCCACCCAGGAGGAGGAACCCUGGCGAGGAUAGAGGCCCAGCAAGGCAGCCUUGGCGAAAAUAGAUACUCCCCCUCUUGAGAAAGGGUCCCUGAACAUGGAUAGAGUACCCUUAAAGGAAGGCCCCUGCCUCCCCAGAGCUGAUCAGGAGAGGGCGCCUGGGGGCUAGAGGGAGAGCCCUUCUUCCCAGCCCACAUUCCACAACCUCCCUUUGGAAGCACGGGUGUUCAGCCUUCAUUAGCUGACUCUUCUCUCCUGGUCUGAUUCAAUCUUCCCUGGUGAAUUUUCAAAGGUGCUUUCCUCUGCCAGUGAGCAACUUAGCUCAGGGCUAACUUAGCAGCGGAAGUCAGCUCCUUGGUGCCUAGGUUCUCUAUUGAGAGAAAAAGGACUGUCCCUCCAAGAAGUCCCCAGGGUGCCAGUUUAUCGACCUGUAAGGGUGCCCCAUCAGAGGCAGGCCUAAGGCUGGAAACAGUUUUUGCUUUUCAAAAGGUCCAGUUCCAUCAAAGCUGUGACAGAUACUGGCUCUUCUCCACACCCUCCUCAGACUCUAGACACAGCUUCCUCCGUGGGGUUACUGGGUACCUCCUCCUGCUUCCACUCUCUUGCCAUACAUAACCGGGUAUGAUUACCCAGGAGGCAGGCUUCAGAAGCCAGGUCCGUGAUGAGGACACAGAGGCCUGAGAGUAGAUAUGGCUAUGUCUAACCCUGUCCCUUGGAGUCAUGUCAUAAGACUUAUGGAUGGAGCCCUCCAGCAGUUCUGGCUUACAGUGGUUUGUCCCCCACUGGACUGCCAGCAUGAGUCCUAUCCCAGGGUCUUGCACAGUGUCUGACCAUGAGCUUAAUGCAAACUCACUGAAGGGGCAGCUGUCCCUGUCCUCACCAUCUUUUGAGGGUUAGGGGACAUGGCUGAAAGGGCAGGACUAGGCCUGGGCAGACAUGAGAACCUUUUGAUUUUAUUCAUGAUAUUCUCGGGCAAACUGCAUGCAAAUUUGCCAGUGGCCCAUUAUCCUAUUUUUCUUUAGCCACAUGGUUGACUGAGAACCAGAACUGUAACCUGGGUUCUGUGCUCAGGAAGCCUGAACUCUGGUGACGUAAGCUCCUUGAACUCUUUCUCCUAUCAACCAGCCAACAGGCUCAGUAGGGCUUAGAGAGCUGAUUGCACUAAGGCCGGAGAGACCUGUCCCUCUGGCUUCCACCCUGCAGUCUCCUCAGGGCUUCUCUACUUUGAUUUGCCUAAAACUGUUAUCAGUCUGCUGUAUCCUCCUCCUCUUCCUCUUCCUCCUCCUCCUCUUUCUCCUCUUUUUCUUCCUUCUCUUCACUCUUCUCUAAGAGCCCAAGGACCUGCCAGGCUAGAAGCUGCCUCUCUUUGCCUGGAAAUGUUCAGAAAAGGGCAACUAGAGAAAGAAAGCCCCUGGGCAAAAGAAAAUGCAUGCCUGACUUCUUUGUGGUUUCCUGCUCCAUGGAGCAGCAUCUGUCUCCUCCAGGGGAUCUCAAGCUGUUUGUUCAUGCUUUGGGGGCUUGAAAUGGAGGGUGUACAGGGUAGACUCAGACCACGGAGAACGCUACCUAGUGGCUUAGAGAGAGGGAAUCCAUCCUGUCUUCUGUGGCAAGCGCACUGUUGAUCUCAUUCUGGUCUGGAAGACAAUGUAUGGGAGGCUGAACAUCCUUCAGGACCUAGCUGUCUGGGUCAGUUACUUAGCCAGGAUGUACAAGGAUGUGCUCACAGAUCAAUCCCAAACACAUUUCCAUAUUGGGAGGGUCUAUUUGGAGCAGAAGCAACAGAUUGAAUCGCUUGAGGUUCCUUUGAACCUUCAGCAGCGCCUCCCACCAUGGUGGGUGGAGUCAGAUUGCCAUCCUGCUCUUCACCUCAUCACACAGCCUUGGUCCUACAAGCAUGCAGGCUGGUGAGAGCAAAUACCUUAGCAUCUCCCUAAUGCCCCAUUACUCUGCCACCAUGGGCUCAGACAGGUCUGCUGGCCUUGAAGUACCCCCAGAAGACACAUAGGUCUAGAAGAACCUCUGAAAAUUACUUCUAUUGUGGACCCAUGAAUCUUGACGGAAACAUGGGGUUGGUUAAUUGAACUUUGAAAGACCUCCACACAAGCCUCCCAUUUAUUAUGGGCCCACUGGGUGUCCCAUGUAGAUCUGGAGAAUGGUUGUGUGCAUGGGGCUGUCUCUGGGAACACUGAGCCCCUGGCCCCUGUGUAUUCUAUGGUUGGGCCAAGCUGAAUGUAUCCUGACCUUUCUCUGACUCUCCUUUUCUUGUCUUUAGCUUGAACCAUUGUCAAUCCCAAGACCCAGAAGCAUUCCGAAGCUCUUUGAGGAGGUGUUAUAAGAGGGAAUCCCUAAAAAAUGUGUAUUUUCCCAGUGACAUGGCUUCGAUUCUAGCUCAACCUGGGUUCUCCAGUUUGUGCAGAGUUGAAGAAAGAGUGCCCCACCUGCCCUCAGUGUCGGCUUUCCCAAUGGGCAGAGGGCCCCUCUGGGAAGGGCUGAAGGUCAGGGACACUGUAGAUCUCUAUUCUGGGCCCUCUCCCUCCCUCCCUCCCUUCCUCCUCUGCUUCCCUGGCACCCACAAGUGCUACUUCAGCCCAGGGUUCUCAGCACAUUCUUGUGCUUUUAUGUUUCCCCUCCCCCCACCCCCACUCCACUCCCUUUAUUCUCUUCCCCUAUCACACUUCCCUCUAGUACAGGGGGUGGGAAAGCCCCAAGAAAGUCUCAGUUUCCUUAGCUGUAACUAUGUGUUGACAUUACUGGAUAUAAUUAAUAGACGCCGGGUACAUACACAAGAGUUUCCACUCAGAAAAGAUAAGCUCCUUUUACCUAUGAGAGAUGUUUUAACAUUUCCAUGUCCCCUCACCUGCAUCUCCUUCAUUCGUUUCCUCUGGGCAUCUCUGCUCUGCCUUGACCUACCAUCCUGCCCCUGCAUUUGUCCCCCCACCUGCUUUUUCUUCCCUCUCUUUUUUGGCCCCGCAUACUCUCCCCCAGCGCCUGCCACGGACCACAGCGUUACCCUGACAAGGGCAGGGCAGGGCAGGGCAGGGCUGAUGGCAGUCUCAGCUUCUCAUUAGAGGCCCAAGAAUGUGUGGAGUCAUGAGGACAAUGAGAGUCAGCCACAGGAAGAAUGGGGCCUCUGUCAAAUGAGAAGUUUCCCAAAUCCUGGCCUUAGCUGAACGGAACACCUGAGGGUUAAGCAAAGUGUACUCACUCUCCACCUAAGGCGCCGGAGACAGGCAGCCAGAGCUUUUUACAAACCUACGUUUAUUUAUUUUGUGAGCAUGCGUGCUUGUGGGCAUAUGAUCCAUAACGCACACGUGGAGGUCAGAGGACAAUCUGAGGACCAAAGUCAGGCAUCGGGCUUGGUGGCAAACAGCUUUAACCACUGAGCCUUCACACUGCUUCUGGUGUGGCCUCAUGAGUCAUUUACCCUGGGAAUUCUUAGAAUUUGGGAGAGACGGGAGCCAGACCUGAGGAUGUGUUGAGGCCGGGACAAGGAGUCUAUACAGUGGCCUGUGUGUACACAGAAUGCAUCUUGGGCCACCUGGGCUCAGGCUCCAUUCCUAGCAGAGCUGACAGCUUAGGGGUGAACUCAGAGGGAAGAAACAGUGGAAAUGGCACCUGUGAGAAAGGUUGAGGCCUUGCAUUCUCGCUGAACUGUGUCCUUGUACUGCCUUAGGGACAGAGGAAGCGGCCCCAGGAGGCAGGGUUUUCCUGGCUAAAGGAGGUGGGGCCCAUUUGACCUGCCUUCCCUCCCUCAGCCAGGCCCGAACCAGAUGCAUUGCCAUCUCCACCCCACAAGAUUUUUGGUCCCAGAAACAGCUUCAGGGACCCCCCCACCCCAUUCCCGGGCUUUCUUGGGGCUUGUCAGGUGUGUGCUAGGUCUGGCAGUCAGGACAUAUUCCAGAAAUUAAAAGCCACACUUGAGUUGCCUGAAGAAGGGACAGGACUGAGCAGUGCUGACCUGUGGUUCUGGGACAGGGGAAUGACAGGAACAGGGUGUGUGUGUUGGGGGGAGUGAGAAGGGAAAGGGCCUGCAGGGAGCUGCCUCGGGUCUCUUGCCAAAAAUUAAACCAUUAAAAAAAAAAAAAAACUGGAGGGGAGCGGCAGGGGAAGGAAGGAGAAAAAGGAGAUGGGAGAGGAGGGAGGGGACCAAACACCCCCUCCACACCAAUAGCCCGGCAGGGAAUGUGAGUAAUACCCGUCUGGUUCAGAGGGAGUGAGAUCAAAAGCUAGUAGAUACAAGAGGUUUGUGCUUCACCGACCAGACAGCCAGAGGCUCAAUGAGACCUUUGUUAACCCAAGCCCAAGUCAGAAUUGAAGGAAUACCUGACUACCCACCCGCCCCCACCAGCCUGGUAGGAGGAGAGGCAGGUCAUCAGAGAGUCAACGCAAGUUGGGCACAGCUAGGCCUAGCCAAGAGUGGGUGGAGGAGUGGGGAGGCCUGGGUUUGGAGGGAGCUGAGGAGUGAACCGCUGCCAGGGAGGCAGGAAGUGGCUCUUGUGGAAUUAUAAAGGGAACUUCGGGGGGGGGGGGAAGCGGGGGCUUCACCUGGUGAACCUGCCAUCCCAGGCCCUUGGUUUCUUUCAGGGGGACUGGACAUUUGGCCUCAAGCACACAGCUUUCUGUAGGUCUGGGAUUCUGGGGGCAGAGAAAAGGACAGGCUACAGAAGUAAGGAUUGGUGAGCCAAGAGUUCAAGUGUGGAACUGGUGGGUGCUCUCCUGUUUGACAUUCAGGUAGGAUGAGUCUAGGGUGUGUGUGUGUGUGUUGUACUGUUGGUGUCCAGUGGGAGUUCAAUUAGGAGGGUGGUGGCCUCACCAUGCUGUUUCAGAGAGCCUCUGGCACACCUGGCACAGGUUGGGGCUAGGACUAAAGUAGGGUGCUAGCUACUUCUUGAAAGAGAAAUGUUCUGAGCCGGACCCCGCCCAUUGAAGGUCCCUGGGAGAGAUGGAUCCAGGUUGAGUCUGGAGGUCUGAGUUCCCCUGAGGCUUCCCUGGUUUUAGGUGCUUUGGGGGCACAGAUGCUUACAGCUGACCCACAGUAGGAGAGGGGACAGGAAAUUCACCUGUAUUUAGAAUAUACUUUCCUUAGGGUCCUGAGACCUUGAUGAGUCCUCUCCCCCAGCUCACCAGAUGGAUUGCUCAAAGGUGGCUGCCCUUAGCUGGUGGGGAUUUCAGCCCUGGCAGGCCCUUUCUCAAACUACUAAGUCUAGAGCAGCGUUUCCCAACCUGUGGGUCAUAGGUCGCCUAUCAUACCAGUAGCAAAAUUGCAGUUACAAAGUAGUAGUGAAAAAUAAUUUUAUGGUUGGGGGUCACCACAAGAGGGGGAACUGUAUUAAAGGGUUUCAGCUUUAGGAAGUUUGAGAACCACUGGUUUAGAAAAUGGUGUAACUCCCUGCACCAAUUUGGGAAGCUUGGGACACCCAAAACUGGGCGGGGUGUGUGGGGGAGCUCAACUCUGGGUCCUCUAAGCAAAGCAUACUGCAGUAAUGAAAGGGUUAAUUACGCCUUUUGUGCCCUCCCCGCCCCAAGGAGCCCACUAUGGGGUCUGGGCGUCUUGAAAGGAUUGCCCUUAUUUGCUAGAGGAGAGGGCAGUUAGGGACCUGGGAGGGGGCUGGAUGCUAAUUAGAGGAAUCAGAGGAGGUCCUUUAUGGCCAGGAAGCCGCACCUCCCUGUACCCACCACGAGGGCCAUUGUGUGAGGCCUUUGAAGGACUGGACUGGAAACUCAUUACUGCUGUAGCUUUAGUGUUCUUGGGGCCCACCAGGUGGUGGGAGACGGUGAGAGAAUGCGUUCCGUGGGGGGAGGCCAGGUCGGGAGGAGGGAGGUGUGAGAUUCCCCAGUUUCCUGCUUUUUUAAGAUUGCUGCCACUGGACCCCUCCGCUCUGCUGUGGCCUAUGGCUUUUCAUUCCUAUGUGAUUGCUGCUCCGAACUCAUGUAGGGCUAAAAGCCAUGGGCUACAGUGAGGGGCAAGCUCCUGCACAGCUACACAUCCCUAAGGACCAGCCACAGAGGGCACCAGAGGGAGGGGCCGCCAUUGCUAGGAACUCCUGGUUUGGGGCUAGGCUGUGUGAUCUUAGCCACAUGUCACUUAUCUCUCUGUCAGGUCCCUUCGUUCUGAAGGGUUAGGCUGAUGAGCCUACUGGGUGAGAUAUAAGGUCUUAUUUAGGGCUUUUUCCUCUUCCCAAGUUUUUGAGGCCUGGCUUGGAGAUGUAGGGCUGGUAUCAGCCACGGUGUCUUGGACCUCUCUUCUGUCCAGCCAUAAUCUGCUUCUUGGUCUUGGUCUUCCUCCUCCCUCUGUGCAGCUCCAGAUCCUACUUGCUCUGGUCCACCGGGGCUCUUUCGAGACCGAAAUGAGAAUUCAGGCCAGCUACGCUGGUGGUGCGGUAGCAGCGGUGUGUUCCAGAAUAAAUCUAGGAAGACCAUAGCUCACCUGGGUACCAUGCUGGAGCCCUGAGUCCCAGCUUCCGGCCCUUACCCUGAGGACCUGUGCCUUUCCUGUUCACUCGGGCUGGGACCUCGGCCUUCCCUGCAUCUUCCACCAACCUGGUUCUAUUCCCACUCUGAAACCGGCAUGACUCUGUCCCUUCAAUCCUGAAAAACUUCACAGAUGGAGAUGAAACACGAAGUUUGGCUGGAAUGGCAAGGGAAUCACCCCACCUACACUGGGCUCCCCCAUUCCAGCUCCAGCUUGCCUGACAUAGACCACUGAGGGAGCAUGGCACGCCGUGUAUGUUCUUCAGCAUCGGAAGGCAGCUUACUUCCUUGUCUAAUUUAGGUGGAGUUUUCCUAUCCCCAAUUAGCAUUUACCAAGUGCCUACCACAUACCACAGCUCUAGCCUACUUGCCUAGAUUGCCGUUUAGUCUCCAAGACAGCCCUAUUUAUUAUUAGCCCAUUUUAUUUAUGGGAAAUCUAAAACACAAGGUCAGCUGGAAAACUGCCCUGGCGCAUAUGGCUAAUAAGAUGCGGAGCUGGGAAUCGAACCCAGAUUCUCCGUGCCAGAACCCACCCCAUGGUCCUACGCCGUGCUCUCAGGAAUCAAAGCAGUGUGUCGGGAAUGCCCAGGGUCUGGGCAGUGCUGUGUGCAUGAGGGCUUUUUCCGCAGAGGCCCGUGGGAGGAUGCGUUGCCUUGAAUUUUACCCAGUUCCACCGCUUGUUAGAUAUGCCUGAUUUUCUUUAUCCAAGGUGGGCAGAGGGGUAAGUCAGAACAACAGAAGGAAAGCAUAUGCCCACACCAGCUGGAGUUUAACUGUGGCUGAGUCAGGCUACUUAUCCACGUGGCUAGGUUUGGAAAGAGUCAGGGGUGCCUAGCCCAUGACUCAGCCCCCUCUCUGGAGUUGGCCAUGGUUUGGUUUUUUUUUUGUUUUUGUUUUGUUUCUUGUUUUUAUUCUGCUCUAGGAACCUAUUGUUUUCACUUCUCUCUGCCUGCUGCCAGUUUCCUAAUUGGAACGCUAGGGCAGAAGACUCACCUCCCCUGCCCCCUGCCUCUGGGCCUGCCUCAGGAAUCCUGUUUCACAGUUUGUCCAGGAAAGCCUCAGCAUCGAGUAGGGGGACAAGUGAACGUGAAUGGGAACGGCUUCAAAGGAAGAUUCUACCUCCUGUGAAGGCACUUAGUAGGACUGCACAAUAAAUCUUAAGGGAAGAAAUGGUGACCUGGGGGGGGGGGGAAGGUGAGAGAUAGCCCCCUUCUAGCCUGGGGCUAGGGGGUGGGCGCUGUGCUGGGAUAGCAGGCUCCUCUGCAGUCCCCGCACCUUGCCAUUAUGGGUGGGGCUGGCUUGGAGAAGAUCCGCAAUGGCGCAUCUCCCAUAAUUGUUGAGAUCCUCCGAAUAGGCAAGCUGGCCUCAUGCCCUCUUUCCCUGAGGAUUCACAGAGCAGCCCUGCGUCUCUCCUGUGCCUGCCUGCAGACAGCUGAAACCAAAAAUAUCAUAACUGAGCAAUCUAGUCUCCUACAGUAUCAGCUCGACUCAGCCUGAGGCUCCCCUAGGGAGACGGGUCCGUGUUUAACGACACUGAGAACCGGGCGAUUUUCUUUGGUGGUAUUUGUCCGUUUCUAGUGGAAAUGGAAUUUGAUGGCUAAGCUUCCUUUCUAAAUGCAAAGAAGAUUGGAAAGAUUGCUGGCUGGUUCCCUCUUUUUAGGGGAUAAGACCUUCUACGUCAGGUUCCUGGCUCCUCCUCUCCAGCCAGGAGUCAGCGUCCUGCAUCUUGACUGUUGACUGCGGGGCCUCAAGAAUCAAGCGGACAUUCCGCCCACCCGCACUGGAUCCUGGAACCUGCAUGAAAUGACACGUCCAGGGAGUGUUUUAAGCUUGUUUCCCGUUCUUGAGCCGCUGCUGUGUGCGUCUGAGGUGAGGCAGAAGGCUUGGAACAACACAGGUUUCAGGAAAGGAGAAGCUGAGGUUUGGUGAUGGAACCCGUUUACUCCAAUGGUAGGACAGGCAGCAGCCUCAGGGAGCCCGGAGGCUUCUGGGAAUGAUAACCCCAGCUUACUUCUGUCUCUCUCUCUCUCUGCAUCUCUCCCAUUCUUCUACCCUGUCUUUCCCUACAGACAUCUGUUGAGCAUUCCCCCGCCCGGCCCAGGGCAUGCCCCAGUUCACUUUCGCCUGUUUCUGUGGUCUUCACGGCUUCUGCAAGAUGAAGAGGAAGAAGGACGAAGUUCACAGAGAGAGGGAGACAGUGGUGUGAGCAGAACCAGGGCCUCCCUUGUCAGCUCCCCGUGGAUCUGAGCCUGAGGCUGCUGUGGUGCUCAGAGCGUGUGUCUUCCAUCUUUAUUUAACUGGUACCUGACCAACAACCUGAGGACAUCCGCCUUCUUGUGCCCACCCCUAUUAGCUACCAAUCUUUUGUGCUCCUGGAGAGGCCUCAGCUACACAAGGGUUUCCCCAGGAUCUGCCACUUGCCUUCUGGAGACUGGACAGCCUCCCUAGGAUCAAGGAAUGAAACUUUGGGGCUCUUCUCAGGGGACCCCUCCCAUGAAGCUUAUGCAGCCUUGGGAGAGGAAAGCAGUUGCUAAACAGCAAAGUAACUGUUUUUGCAGACUUUGGAGGGUUUGAUGUAUGCGACACCACCAUCAAACACAAGAUGGAGUCUAGGCUGGGGCUCCAGGGUCUUAGCCCUUUCUUUGCAUCCUCUUGGGCCAGGUGGGCCAGGACUGAGAUGGAGGACCGAAUCAGACAUUCGAAGGGUCAGACAGUAGAAGGCUCUUCUGUGUGUCUGGCCCUGACCUACCAGUUUCAUGAAGCCCUCAGUUCUUUGUCAGCACACAGAUGUGGGGAGACCUUUCCUCAGGCACUAAGCCCCUCAGGGACUAUCCCUAGAGCUCGGCCACACCACUGAUCCCAUUUUGUUUACUCACACCCUGCCUCGUUCCCUUCUGUCCUUGGGAAGCUGUUGGCAUAGCGCACCUUCUGAGCACAGGGAAUUCUAGGACUGUCCUAGACUUUCCCCUUCUUCUUCCCAGUUCCGUGUCACCUCCUUCUUCAGGAGCUUGUGGCCAUUUCUAGGAGUUCAGAAGCAAAAGCGUUUCCUUCCUUUCCCUUCCUCCCUCUCUCCUUCCUUCCCUGGCUUUGUCAUUGUGCUUGUGUCUCUUAGGUGCUAGAGGAAGAGGUGGAGAUUAUGAACCAACUCUUAGCAGCAGAGAGCAGCUUCUGGUCUGCUAGCCUGCCGCCCUCCUCACUGGGACAAGCAGUUCUGCACACAAGGGAGAUGUCACAUUCCCACCACCGUCAGGGUCAAAGAUGGAGGAAGGUCUGGACUCAGCGAGAGACUCUGAGCAAACGGGAAAGGGUGUUUCUUGGGCUUUCUGCAGAUUUGCUGGGAUCAAGGUUGUCUUGGUGGAGCCUGAGCUGCUAGCUUCUCUGCUAUUCUCCACUGGCUUUUCGCCUCUGCCUUCCCACCUGAACCACCUACUGUCUGUUAUUUGCUUUUAUAUUCAAAGAUUUAUAAACAAAUCCUUCCCUCAGGGAAAUAGCAAGCUUCUGCAGUAAAGGCCAGUGGAGGUCACAAGAAUAAAGCAAACUUUCCAGAUUCUUUGUCCUCUGAGAUGACGGAGGCCUUGGGUGAGGCAGAAAUGGCAGAAAAGCUUCAGGGGGCUAACUUUGCUACAGAAACCAGAGAUUCCGCCGCCCCCCCCCCCUACUCUCCAGCAUUUCUAACUGCAGGCUGCCUUCAAGGCUGCAAUCAGAGAAGUCUCUCUGGAACUGGAGGGUGAAAUCAUAUCCCUGUCACUAAGAAGCGUCGGGUGUUAUGUCCCAACCACAUAGGCUCACCCAGAGGACAGGUCAGAUAAUGGAGAACUAAGGUCUGGGAGGGGGCAGCAAAGGGCAGCACGCCUGUGCUUACUUCCCAGGCUUUGGCAGGGAGGCCGCCCCAGGGGUUGGCAGGAAGCUGACUCAGGGAGCUGCUUCCCCCACAGGCAUGUCCUUGGUAUGGUAGAGACACUAGAUAUCUUGAGCCCUUGCUAUAGGAACAUGGGAGGUUCAAGGUUUUUUAAGUGUUGGUCCCACCACUGCUUGCAGACCCAAUGUCCUUGCUCCCUUCGUCCAGGGUAAGCUGUGUAGCCACACUGCAGCAGGCCUGGCCUGAGCAGGAGGGAGGAACUGCAGCGUUGUCUUGACUGUUGGAGAUGGGGAUUCUGUUCUCAGCAUCUAGGAAGCAGCUGGAAACCUGUUUUCAGUUCUGCAUCUGGUGGGUUCAGUCAAUUUUGUAUUAUCUGUUUAAAGUCCCUUCCACUCUGCCUGAGGGAAGCCCAGCCCAUGGAUCCUUUUAGGAUCUAUUUCAGUGGCCCUGUACUCUUAGGGUGAGGCAGGUGUGCAUACCUUCCAUUCUUACAGCUUGACACUCAUCCUUAGAGGGUGGAGAUCCUGUUCCAACUUAAACAGGGAUUCCACCUCUUGGGCUACAGAACUAGUCAGUGAGAGUGGUGUAUAGAUGGCUUUUGGGGUCACUGGGACUUGAGUGUCUUCUAAGACUCUGGUCCAGGAUGCCCAAGGGCUUCUUGUCUCAGGUGAAAGAUAGUUAAUCAGAAUGUCAUUUCCUGUCUCUACUCCUAAGGGAGGCAGGCAUUUUGAAUGUAUAGAUCCAUAGAAAUCAAUAGGGAAAUUGCUAUUUUUUUAAGAAGAGAAUCUUAAAAAGCAAUAAUUUAACUGAAGUAGACGUGCAAUGUAAGGAACCCUGAGCCAAGAGCAGGUCUCCUGGGUUCGGGCUGUGCUUGAGUGCCAGUGAUACUGUGACAUUGGAUGAGUCAGGCCUCAUUUCUGGGACUGGUUUCUUCAGCUAUAAAGGGGAUUGCACUGGUCUCCACUGAGGCCAGUUCUUUGUGGAAUGUCAGGCAUCCUAUGCCCCAGAGGAUGUGUUCUGAGUAACAGGCAGAUCUGAAGUGGUAGAAUGUGCGGGGAAGCCUAGAUCAGAGCUUCUACAAUGUUCCUCCAGGGAGGGCUGGGACAUCUUCCCUCCCUCCUGGAUAGACUCAAGGGGGUCGUCUGUAGCUGGCACUGACUUCAGGCCCUGACAGUUGCCGUCUUUGGAGUCUACUAUGGCUCAGUUGCUAAAGAGAUUCAGAAGGGCCUGACUCCUGCUUGGGUUCACUUUGUACAGUGGGCCAUCGCUAAGAUGAUGGAACCAUUCUCCCCCACUCCUCCAAUGGGAUUUGUACAGCGGUGACUGCAUGGGAGGUGGUGCUGUCUGCAUGGGACAGUACAGAUUUCCUCUUCCCCUGUCACUCCACCGGCACUGACUCCGAUUGACCGAAGAAACUGCUUCCUCUUUCCCAAGGAUGGGUCCUACACCUGCCCUCCCUACCCCACGUGAAAGGCACCUUGUGUUGGAUGUAGCCAGACAUGGCCGAAGCUUAGAGAUGGACCCUUGGACCCUUUUUCCCCAACCAAAGAGGCAGGCUUUCACCCAGAAAGGGAGUCUGGACUGCUGCAUCCAAUAGUCUCGUAGCUGCUGCUCCAGGAGGUCCACCAUUCACCCUGAAGGUUGCUGCUGUGCCUGGCAAGUCAUUGAGCUGAGUGCACCUCAGGACCCAGAGGUUCCCUUUCUAGGGAAAAACUGCUGCAUCUUCAGUACACAAGGAAGACCGGUCAUAGCUACCACUUCUGUCACCUGGUCCUGAUGCGAGCCUUCAGCGUGCAAUAUGUGCUGCUAACCAGUCUAACACCAGGAUGCCUGGCUUGUCAGAACAAGUCCCCCAUAACCACUAGAACCCCCAGACCAGCUAGAUUUGGUAGGUACCCACCAUGAAUGCUAGGGUUACUGCACAGGCCCCUUCUCUAGAUUCUUGUGUGAAACCAUUGGCUCCUCAACAAGCAGAAAGGGAAGGCAGGAGAGCAGACCAUCCACAAGUGGAGUGAGCCAGGAGCUGCUCAAAGCAUUUACACCAAAGAAAACAUUUCAGAAGCCAGGGACUCUGUAACUCGAGCCCUGGCAGAAGGAGCCUGGGUCUGAAACCCAAGGGGUUUCCUAGUGGGCUUCUGGUCAGCUCCCUUCCCUGCAGGAGCAAUCUCCUCCCUCAGUCCAUUCCUGCAUUCCCUCUGAGGGGCGGGAGGAAUGCCAGCAGGGGAGAUGGCAGGACCUAGACACAUCCUCAGGACUCUCCCAGCCUCCCUUGCCAUGGCAACGCUGCUAUUUUUAUCCUGUUGUUCAUGAUGCUCAAAGCUCUGACUUUCUCUGUUCCAGAGAGCCCAGCUGCCUUCUGCCCCCAUCCCUUAGCAUAGCACCUUCUCGAAGAGGCAAAGGGAUAAGGAAGAAAGGGGGACACAUUUAAGUCAUUCCUUCACUAGAGGGACCUCUUUGGUUUGCUGGCUUAAAUAACCAGUUUUGUGUUUUCUGAGAGGUCUGAACUAUGAUCGAGUAGGAAGGGCCACUGCUCGGGGUGCCUUCCCAGGGAGCCCUGACAUGCACUUCUGCCUCUUUUGGGAACACCUGAGGUUCUGAGGAAUGUCCUGUUGGCAUAAGCAAUUCAUAAAGUACUCUGCUUGGCUAAUUAGCAGUCAGAUAACUUGAUGUUGCUGUGGAAUCUAAGCUACUUCUCCUCUAUCCCUCUACCAAGAAGCCAGGACAUAUGCGCUUGCAUCUUUGUCCAAUCAUUCUAUCCAAAGCAAGGCAGCAUAUAUAUCAUCCCCAGGCUAGAAAGCAGACUCCCUCCAGUUUAGCCAUAUUCCGUUGAGGUCCCACCUCCAUACGCCUGCAAGGGGCUAAGGAUGAAGCCCAGGGCCACAGAACCACUAGGCAAAUGCUCUCCCACUGAGUUCCAUCUCUAGCCUGGAGCACAUUGUGAUUUUGAAGGCUGCAGUUAGUGAAAGGCAUUCUUUAGCUGUUCUUUCUGCCACCCUUCCAUGGCCCAGCCUUUACCUGUCUUCCUGUGUCCCAACUUCCACUACACUGGCAGGGAAUCCCUGAGAAUCACUGGUGCUAAUGGUCUCCAUCUAUACUCCCCUUUGUUGAUCUGUGGGGUGUGAACUCAGCAUGUGGGGUGGCUGGGCUAUGGGGUACAUUCUAUGUAUAUCCCCAACACCUCUACCCUGGAAGCAGGUCCGGAUCUUAACCCAGCAAAACACCAAUCUACAUCUUGUUAACCUUUGCUUCGGUUGAGUUGGCUCCUGAAUGGUUGUUUUCCUAGGGUGGCUGAGACCCAUUUACUAAGCCUCGUUGGUUUUAUUUUGGCUCUAGCUGCACAGUUUCCGAAAUCUAUGCAUCUGGAGUAAGCAUUUUCUGGUCGCCACUGAAAAGCAUGCUGGCAGAUUCUGCUCUGAUAAUUGCUGUAAUAAACACACUUUAUUACGUCC